rnacentral:tRNA from 2 species
GGGUGAUUAGCUCAGCUGGGCACCUCCCUUACAAGGAGGGGGUCGGCGGUUCGAUCCCGUCAUCACCCACCA